AUUGAACGCUGGCGGCAGGCCUAACACAUGCAAGUCGAACGAAGAGCGGACUGGUGAGUAAUGUCUGAGAAACUGCCUGAUCUAGGGGGAUAACUACGGGCACCUGUAGCUAAUACCGCCUACCAUCAUAUGUGCCCAGAGUGGAUGAGCUUGUCGGUGUGCUAACGGCUCACCAAGGCGACGAUCCCUAGCUGGUCUGAGAGGAUGACCAGCCACACUGGAACGGAGACACGGUCCAGACUCCUACGGGAGGCAGCAGUGGGGAAUAUUGAAGAAUGGGCGAAAGCCUGAUGCAGCAACGCCGCGUGUAUGAAGAAGGCCUUCGGGUUGUAAAGUACUUUCAGCGGGGAGGCGUUACCCGCAGAAGAAGCACCGGCUAACUCCGUGCCAGCAGCCGCGGUAAUUC
rnacentral:rRNA from 1 species